CUGUAUUCAAUUUCGAAAUCAAAUGCCUGUAGAAACUCCCACCAACGAUAAACUCUAGGUGACAAUUCGACUUUAUUUCGAGAAGAUUUGAUUGAAUUACACAUUCACGACAGCCAGCGUUUCCAAUUCAUAGGAUAUGUAUCUGGACUCACAGGAGCUAGUUGCUCUACUAUAGUAUUCAACCACGUCAGGCUUAGAGUUUAUGCGGUGCAAAAGGAUUGCCCCAUACCCUAUAGAACUGGCAUCGGUAUGCAACUCUAUCGGAAACUGUGGAUAGAAAAUAAUCAAAACAGGCUUAUGUGAGAAAAUAUAACGGCUUCAUUAAUUGUGAAAAACCCGGAAUGAAUUGACGAAAAUAUGACGCUAACCCAAUAAACUGUCUCAGAGUAGCAACUGAUUUCGGUGGAGGCAAC